AAUGAAGUGCCUGAAGGAAAAAAGGGUUAUUUUGAUAGAAUAAAUUAUGUAGUCGCCUACCUUCAUUA
rnacentral:tRNA from 1 species